rnacentral:rRNA from 1 species
UACGUAGGUGGCAAGCGUUGUCCGGAAUUAUUGGGCGUAAAGCGCGCGCAGGCGGUCCUUUAAGUCUGAUGUGAAGGCCCACGGCUCAACCGUGGAGGGUCAUUGGAAACUGGGGGACUUGAGUGCAGAAGAGGAGAGUGGAAUUCCACGUGUAGCGGUGAAAUGCGUAGAGAUGUGGAGGAACACCAGUGGCGAAGGCGACUCUCUGGUCUGUAACUGACGCUGAGGCGCGAAAGCGUGGGGAGCAGACAGG